CAGUAAAAUGUAAAGAGUCGGACCGCAAAAAUUAGCUAGCAAGUGUUAGCCACAUCGAAGCUUGCUAAAACUUGCGUAAUAUGACUACACUCUCAUAAAUUCAUCAAUAAGUGUCACGUUUAAGUAUAAAUUCAAGAAAAAUAAACAUAGUAUGAUGUUAGUUAAAAACAGAAGGACUCUCUACCACACAAAGGUAAAGCUAGCACUAAUGCUAACUUCAUUUAUUUUACAAAAUCACAUUUUAACAUUUUUUUUUUUACCUUUAUGACCUCCGGUCAACUUUUUAGCCAUCCAAACAAAAACAAAAAAUGUGAACAGUUAGACCGCAAAAAUGAGGUACUGCUAGCUUGCUACUGUUAGCCACUAAAACCUGAAGUUGAUCAAUUCGAUCACAUUAGAGUUUAAGUAUAAACCCAAGAAAAAAAGAAAGUGUGAUGCUAGUCCAAAAUAGGACUUUUUUCAAAAGAAAUUGUUGUUAAGUGUUAAGCUAGCAUGAAUGCUAACUUCAACGCACUUUGUCAUUAUGUUUUAUCAUUAUGUCAUCCUCUUGUUGACCUUUUUUGGAACCAAAAACUCCAGAAAACCCAUAACCCACAACAGGUUUCUACUAGAUAGUAUCACAUGUUGUACAACCAAAACAAUACAAUACAAUUGAAUAAAGCAGAAUAUUAUCUGCUCUCAUAGGGACAAAAAAUGGACACAAGUUAUGGGCUCCCUCGUAAAGAACCUGACGUCGUAAAACGGGUGACAUCCGCCAUUGUAGGCGCCGUACUUGUGUCCUCACCUGGGGUUUUUCACCAGCAGGGACUUGAUGAAGUCGACGGCCAGCGGUGAGAUGUCCUCGAAAGUGUCGUGCGAGUACUCAACGCUGACUUGCGAGAUGUUGAGAAACGUCUCCUGCUUGUCGUCGCCCAGGAAGGGCGACUCGCCGGUCAGCAUGACGUAGGUUAGAACUCCGAUGCUCCUAAUCACCAGAGAGAACGACGUAACGGGUUUUGUCGGGUUUGAAGGUUUCAAAAACGUGAUAAGAAGUACAAUGAAGUACUCACCACAUAUCUGUUGCGGUACUAAUUGGUUCGUAGUUCAGGAUUUCGGGCGCUAUUUGGCAAAAGAACCGAAAUUAGCCAACAGAAAACCUAAAAACCAUACAAGUCCUUCUUAAAAAGAGGACUUACCGACAUACUCUGGGGUGCCCAGAAUCUCCCGGACCUCAGAGAUGCUGUCCAUAUGUCUGGACAGACCGAAGUCCACGAUACGGAUGUCACCCAAAGGCAGAGCGCUGGUCAGUAGGAUGUUCUGCGGCUGCGGAGGAUCAGACGGGCGUGAAAGGUUAUGUAACCGCCGAGGGGGGAUUUGGGACUUGAGAUGAAAAGAAUCCCUGGAGGAUUUGGGAGUCUGCUUCGUCAGUCUGCAUCUAACAGUGCCUCAGAUCUUCCGCUAAGCCAAUCAGGGCGGAGGUUUAUCACAUCCGAUGACUUCCUGGACGCAUUGUUCCGAGCGCACAAUGACUUUGGGGUCGGUUUGGAUAAAAGCCAGGUUUGCUUGGGAACCCGAUCUCGACACCAAAGUCAGGACCCGUUUUAGGAAAGAUUAUCUCAUGUGGAGGACUGGGUUCUUGAAGGAAAAACCACAAUGAUAAAAAGCUGUGUCACCUCAGACGGUGUCCCCUUAAGGGAACCAGGUUUUGACACCAAACCAGCUUACGUAACAGACUAAAAACACGCCACCGCCGCCGCCACCUCCAGGGAAUAGUCUGCCCCAUAUUGUGACAUAAUCUCUCACAAAAAAAACCUUCCUCACCUUCAGGUCCAGAUGCACCACAUUGUUCCGAUGCAGGAAGGCCACCCCUGAUAGGAUCUGCCUGGCCAGCCGGAUUACGUCUUUCUCCGUGAAGGCCUCGUCGUUGUCAGCCACGCAUUGGUCGAAGAUUUCCCCACCGGCCGCACUGCGAGGACGGGAAAAGAAAAAAAGUGUGCAGUGGGCCAAUAAGAAAACAGCCCCCGGACCGCGACUUGGACACCCACAAAGAAUGUGUCGUGGGCCAAUAAGAAAACAGCCCCCGGGCCUAGACUUGGACACCCACAAAAGGUAAAUAAACAGAAACAGGAAAUGAAAAAUCUUACAGCGGGCUAACCUUACUGGCUGAGACACAGGCUGAUUUUUUUUUGAAAUUACAAGGUAGAUAUCGCAUGAUUAAAAUUAUUUUAAAAAAAUUAAUUAAUAAAAAAUAUAUAAUAAAACAGCCCCCGGACCUCGAUUUGGACACCCACAGAAUAAUAAAUAAACAGAAACAGGAAAUUAAGUAAAUUGGUUAAGACACAAUAUUGCAAAUUUCUGAUUUUGUUUUUGUUUUGCUACGCUGCCGUUAGCAUACUAGCGAGUAGUUUACGAAAUUUUUUUUUUUUUACACGAUAAUGCCGCUUUAGAGGCGGAAAAUUUUUAAAAUUUCACAACGCUUCUCAAAUGGCAUGUUUUGGGACACAUUUUCAACAGUGGAUGAGUGAGGUUCCCCGGGCUGACAAAGUUAGCUGCUGUUGUUAAAAUUGCAAAAACGCAAAUAUUUCUCUUUAUCCUCCUACUUAGCUUAUUUAGCACCACUUCACAGGAUUUUUUUUUCCUUUCAGUGCGUAGUUGACAUCAAAAGCUUUUGGCUAGUGGCUAGCUUAAAAUCUGCCGCGCAUGCAGAUGGUGGUGGUGGGGGGGGGGCACGGGCUACCGGCUGCAGCUGCAUGUUAAGCUGCUGAGAAUUCAAGCGUCUGCUUCACUGACAUGACUGAGGAUGUGGUUGCGGCGAUGAGAAAUGUGUGCGCUUGGCGGCGGGAGCGCUACUUUUAGCGGCCUUGCUCACUUACCGCCCCGCACAGGAAAUGGAGAUAAAAAAAGGUUUGUGAGAGCGAGCCGUGUGACCCAGAUGAUUGAAACCGAACGCAAAGUGAAAGACCUUGUUCAGAGAUAACCUUUUGUUAUGCGUAAGGGCAGAAAACGUGGACUUUGUCUUGCUAGUCGGGCGUGCGGUGAGCAGUUCAUUAGAACCGCUGGCAUAGCGUAGCCACAAAUAUGCGACCGGUUAGCGCUUAGCUCCAAACCACACAGUUAAGGUCGUUUCCAAAUUUGUUUAAAUUUCCUGUAAAAGUUUUCACACCUAUUCAAGACAAAUUCCUCACACCGGGGCUUCCCGAACUUUGUGUUCCGACCCGUUUUGGGGUCCAGACUGAACCAUUUUAUUGAUACUCACAAUUUAUUGUUGACUCAUGUUUGGGCAAUAAAUUUGUCAGUUGUGUUUUCAUGUCUUUAUAUGCGGUUUAGGUUGUUGGGGGGGGAGCAAAUGUCUAUUUUGGACCGACUUGUUUGCUGCUGCCUGGUGGAAAGUCAAUGGAGUGAGGUUCCCAAAGCUAGCACAGUUAGCAAAGCAAUAGGUUAAGUAUGUUAUGUUUGCAAAUGUUUGCGUUUCUUGACUUUGCUAAUUGGCUUGCAUUUUUCCACUGUGAGAGACGUUUAGCUCUGAACCUCAGGUCAUUGCAUUGCAGUGAAGAACUUUGUUUUCAUAUCUUGAUAAUAUUUUUUCAGUUAAGCAACUUAUGUCGUGUUUUUCCAAUGUGUGCGAUGUUUAGCUCUGAACCUCAGGUCUUUUUGUGUUCCAUUGUUCAACUUAAUUUUAUCACUCAUCAUUAAAUUAAAUUACAAAACUAUGUGUACGUGCAACAUCCUGGUGAAUGGAGUGAAGUUCCCUAAGAUGACAAAGUUAGCGCAAUCGUCAGUUCAGUCACAAGAUUUCCUUGAUAUGUUGACAUGCAAAUAUUACUAUUUAACCACUUAGCUCGUGUUUUUUUUUUUUUUACAAUGUAUGAAAUGCUUAUUGGCUCUGAACCGCAGACCUUAGAAUUCCAUUGAUGUACGGUCACGAGAUUGCUUUCAUAUCUUGAUAAUAUUUUUUUUUUACUUCAGUUAGCAACGUAUGUCGUGUUUUUCCAAUGUGUGCGAUGUUUAGCUCUGAACCUCAGGCCUUUUUGCGUUCCAUUGUUUUAACUUAAUUUUACCGCUCAUCAUUAAAUUACAAAACUGUGUGUAUGUGCAACAUAAAGUCAUGCUGGUGAAUGGAGUGAAGUUCCCCGAGAUGACAAAGUUAGCGCAAUCAAUCGUCGGUUCAGUUCAGUCAGAAAUUAAAAUAUUGCUAUUUAACCACUUAGCUUGUGUUUUUUUUUUUUUUACAAUGUGUGAAAUGCUUAUUAGCUCUGAACCGCAGACCUUAGAAUUCCAUGGAUGUACUUAUUUCUAGUGGUUUCAAUUCUUUGGUACGAUUACUUUGAUAUCUUGAUAAUAUUUUUUUUACUUCAGUUAGCAACUUAUGUCGCGUUUUUCCAAUGUGUGUGAUGUUUAGCUCUGAACCGCAGACCUUAGAAUUCCAUUGAUGUACUUAUUUCUAGUGGCUUCAGUCAAUUCUUUGGUACGGUCACAAGAUUUCUUUCAUGUCUUGACAUGCUUAUAUUUCUCCAUUUUAUUUAAGAACUUAGCUUGUGUGCGAUGUUUAGCUCUGAAUAGUUUAGCUUCUGCAUUCCAUCAUUUAACUUAAUAUCCGCUGAUCUUGACUUCACAAGCAUAUUUCCCCUAACGCCAAUACCUAAUUAGGACGUUCUUCCACCGACCUCUGACAUUUUCAGAUAAUCAUUCGUGGAAUGCCUUUGGCAAUUAGAGACAAAGCCUGCGUAACCCACUUUUCCUGGCACGGCCCGAGCGGCGACACGUGAUGGGGGAACAUUUCAAGGCACGAGGUCUAAUUUUCGAGCCUUUCAUACUUUUCCAGCGUGUCGUCUUACCAUUCCAAAACCAGGAUGAUCUCUGUGGCGGUUUCGUAGACCUCGUGCAACGCCACAACGUACGGGUUGGACUUGGCCAGCUCCAGCACGGCGAUCUCGUUCAGGAUGUCCACGCGGCAGUCCUGGCCCUUCCGACGUUUUCGCUGGAACUUGGCGGCGUACUGCUUACCCGUCGUUUUCUCUACGCACUUUUUCACGACAGCGAACUUUCCCCUGGGAAAGAAAAGCAGGGCGAGGAGUGAGAGAAAUUUCGACAGCAGGACAAAUAUAAGUGUUAACAUUAACACAAUGGGCCAUGUGAAUGUUCUCAACUCCUGUUUACAUACCAGUGUCACGUCACAAAUGUAAAAUUUUACCCAAUUGACUCAAACGUCAUCGUAAAAUCCCAGAUUCUCGUGUCUCAUUUUCAGUAUAGUAUAACAGCAAAACAAACAAACGUCAAUAAAAACAUGACUUCCUUGACUGCCUAAA